AUUGAACGCUGGCGGCAGGCCUAACACAUGCAAGUCGAACGAGCGGCGGACGGGUGAGUAAUGUAUGGGGAUCUGCCCGAUGGAGGGGGAUAACUACUGGAACCGGUGGCUAAUACCGCAUACUAUCGGAUUACCCCAUAUGGGCUUAGUUGGUAGGUGGGGUAACGGCUCACCUAGGCGACGAUCCCUAGCUGGUCUGAGAGGAUGACCAGCCAAACUGGAACUGAGACACGGUCCAGACUCCUACGGGAGGCAGCAGUGGGGAAUAUUGCACAAUGGGCGCAAGCCUGAUGCAGCCAUGCCGCGUGUAUGAAGAAGGCCUUAGGGUUGUAAAGUACUUUCAGCGGGGAGGCGUUACCCGCAGAAGAAGCACCGGCUAACUCCGUGCCAGCAGCCGCGGUAAUAC
rnacentral:rRNA from 1 species